CUUUUGUUCAACUUUGUUCGACAUUUUUGGGACCUUCUAGGGCAUUCUCUUGCAGUCUUGCUCUCUGGUCUUUUUCUCGGUUAUGUUCUUUUUCUUUUCCCUCAUUCAUUCUUGCUUUGUUUGAAGUUUUUUGCAUCAAUUAAGUGAUGCAUAUUGGUAAUUUACUUUAAUGUUAUAGUCUUAUGAAGGAUUUUGAGGUCUUCACUUUGAAAUUGGGAUUUUAAGAAUUUGAUUGAACUCUCAUGAUUAGACAAUUGAAAGAUUUGAAGCUCAUACAUGAUUAAAGAUUGAAUUAGAUACUUCGGUGCUGUCAGAGAUUAGGUUCGGAUGUAAUUGUAUAACAUCUUGUUGAUUGUUCUGGUGAGUUAUGUUCUUCUCUAUCACUGCUGCUCAAUUUUUGUUUUCAAUCUCUGAGGUUGUUUCCAUACAUUCUCCAUCUGUUCCUUCAUGCCCUAUUUUCAUUAUUUUUCUCUCCUUUUUCCUGGCUUGAUCAGUUUCUCUUUUUUUCUUUUACCCUUUAAUCGUCGCUUUAAUUCUCUUUCUCUUCGCUCCAGUUUCUAUUGCAUGUUCUUGCAUCGACUUUCUACUUCUACUACUUUUCUUUGAUAAGUUCAAAGAUACCUAUUACUGCAUUUUUAAUGCUCGUAGGGAACUGGAAAAGGAAAACAUCUGCUUUCGACCUUGGUGUUUGCCUUUUCCAAUGUUUAUCGAAGUUGGAAAGCUGGACUAUAUGCUAAAGUAGUUGAUCCUCAUUUUGAAAUAUCUUUUUGUUGUGGACUACAAACGUAAAUGGAUUUUAAUAUAGUAUCCUUGUUAAUGAUUUUUGCUUAUGUUAGAUGUUUGUUGCAGUAGUUGGGGUUUCAUAAAGAAUUGCUUCCAUGUGCAGAUUACGUGACUUAGUUUAGUCCUAUGUAAACAUGUUUACUCAGAAGAACUAAAAAAACAUACUAAUAGCAAGGUGUUUUAAACUUAAAUAGCACGUACUGAUCAAAUACAAAGAUAAUUUCCGAUCAAAGCGCUUAGCUCAGUGAGGGCUUCACGUAAAAAUCAAAUUAUUUGCUUGCUAAUAUUUAGUGUACUAUUACUUAUUCGCUUCUUCUUUCAUAAUCUUCUGUUAUUAAAACAACAUAUGUUGGAGUUAAGCAAAUCAAUCUGUUAGUAGCUUCUAUUACUAGGGUUAAAUCCGUCCCUAAGGCUUGUGGUAGGUUUAGUCAAGAAUUUUUAAGAGAAAACACAUUAACUUCUUUGAUUGCUGGUCAUGUUCAUAUUUCUCACUCUUGUUUUCCUAGGCAUCCAAUUUUGCUGUGUUUGUUUUUGAGUUGGUAAGAUUGAAAAAAACUUCUAGCCAUCCAAAUAAUGCUUAAGCUCAUCGGUCAGUGAAGCACAUAAUCAUCAAUUAUAUUUUCCAUGACUUUUUACUUUGAUUAACAGGCACAAUUGUAUUUCUACGUUGGGAUCUUGUUGUUAUUUAUAAUUUGUGUAUCCAAAUUACCUAUUAAAAAACGUUAACGAAUAUACAUUUCUAAUCAGAAUAUUGAAGGUAAAACGCUCUUGAUCAUUCUUCACUAAAUUUUGAGGAAAUUGACUAUAUCUCUGCUUUGGGCAUUAUUUUUCGGGAUAUUCCAGCAAGAACAAGGACCAGUUAGAAGCAGGACACAAAUGCCCCUGCUACUUAUUCCACAUAGCAAGAAAAAGGAUGAGAAAUAUGAUUGUAUAGCUAUAUUUAUGAAAUAUAUUUAAUUGUUUUUUCAAUUUAUGUGAUCGCUAAAGAAGUCUUUUCAUAUAUCAACUAACGGUGGUUUCCUUGUUAAGGAUUCUUGUGAUAAGAUAAUAGUUAGCAGGAGCAGCAAUUGAGUAUUGGGAUUGCCUUUUUUGUUUGUGGGGUUGGUGUUACAGGUUUGUAAAAAUUUUUUGGUGGCUGAGUGUGUGUGCUGUAAAGGUUGGACCAUGGUGUUGCUUCUUUUAAUACUUUAUUUCUCAAUAACAUAUGAAUGGUAGUUUAUUACAAAAUAUCUACCCAUGAGUUCUUUGCAUGAUUAUUUCGGCAGGAAAAAGAGGGUGCACCAAUGUUGGGGGUUUCGUCAGAUUGUAGCCUAUCCCACCAUGAAGUUCAUGAGCUGCUUGAUGAAGAAUUAUUUGGGAUCCUAUGGUACUUCCAAGUUCCAAUGGAGUAAGAGGUAUUGCUUUUGUUGAUGGACUUUUUAUAAGUAAUGCUUCUGUUGAUGGACAAAACAACACAAAGAUGGCGCUCACUGACAGGAACCAAAGUUUAGCCUAAUCUAUCAACUAUCUAAUCUUGCUGAGAAGCUAGAAAUUGCGACCAAAGUUGCAACACAUUCUUAAAGUUGCAACACAAAGCUGAUUGACUUAAUUAAAUUUGUUUCAGGGAAGCAGCGGCAAGCAUUCUCUACGUCAGAGUAUUAUCGGAUUCAACUUACACCAACCUUCAAAAGUAUUUAGUUUUUGGUAAUCCUGUUGAACGAUUGGAACAAGUUUGGAAUCAUCUUCUUAGUGUUUAACUAUUUUUGCUACCUUUGAUUGUACAAAAAAUAUAAAUAUCGACUAUUAAUAAGUGAAACUUUCCAUGGACGACGAAGGGUACACUUGGUAUUUCAAAUUAUUUGUACAGCCUACGUGUUACUCGUGUACGUCCCCACGUGUGUCCACGCUGAUAUCGAAGUUUUCACUUUCAUUCCUCUGGUUUCUUUCUUUUGGCAUUUGCCACUUCUUUUUCCUUCCCGCUUUUUUCACAUUUCUUCAGUUCCAGUUCAUCUAUGUUCAGCUAUUAUUUUCCCCAAUUUCGCUGUGCUUUAAAAUCUGUUGCUCUCUUCUAAUCUUCCACUUUAUCUUGACCUAAUCGCGUUGUGGUUCAAUUUGAUUUCAUGCGGUAGCUUCGACUAUUUUAUAUUUGUGCAUUGAAGUAGCCAACCAAAUGGACCUGAUCAAUGUACUGGAGAUAUAGCGGUUUUCAUAAUUACUUCGGCAACAGUCGCAGAAGACUCCAAUUGGUAGGAAUGAUCUAUAAAUAUUCUUUCCUUUCCUUGAGGGUCAUCUAAAGACAUUGCAACCUUUAAGAGUGUCGUGACUCGUGAUAUUAUCCCCUUGGAAGGAGUACCAUGUGAAGAUAAUAUUUCAACUCAAGUAAAAAGAAAGAACUUUACCUUAACAAUCGCCAACAGCAUUGUCGAAAAGCUUUAUAAUAUAUGAGUAAUAGCCAUGACGAAGAUGAAGCGAUGCAGGUGCUCUAGGCUUUCAUAUGAUUUAAAAGGUUCAUGGUUCUGACAAAAUGUUUGACUCGGAUUAAUAACACUAUGUUAGAAACAAUUUAGAAAGACAGAGAAGCUAUGCAACCAAAGGCAAUAAACUUAAAAAAAUAGUUAUCUGCUUUUUGAAGGAUAAUGAGUUGCAGGUACAUCUUAUGGCAACAUAAAUAGAUUUGAUACAAGAUAUUGGAAUAAUGGUCUCAUAUGCCACAUAGAAGAUCAAAUUUACCUCUCCGUGUGUUUGAUUGAAGAAAACGUUUGCACUCAAUGUGAUGUUCGAGAACAUUGACAAGGAACUACAUUUCUUGCUUGAAGAUAUGGGAUUAUCUUUUGGUUUUAGCAAUCCUAAUGAUAUCAAAGCAGUGAUCAAUAUUCCUUAAUCAAGGUUCCUUCAAUGUGGAGUUUGUAGAACUUCUUGACAGAUGUUUCACAAUCUUAGCAUGAUAAAUUUAAAAACAUCCAUCUUCAUCA